GUCCACUGCUAGUGGUGACAGAGGCGGGAGGGGGCUCGUGGGGGGGGGCGGUGUUGCCUCCCAGGGCGGAUGUUCUGUGGCUGCAGUCGAGAGGAUGAGGGGCGGCAAGGGUGAGGCCAGAGAGCAGGCCAUGUGGGUGCCGAAGGUGGCGGUGUUCAUGGCCGUCAGGGGUGGCUGGGAACUGCGGUCCUGCAGGGAACAGUGGUGGCCAGUGGGGAUGGUUGGUCAUGAUGGUGGAAUCUGUGGUCGCUGGUUUGGUGGCUGUGGAGUGGGUGGGGACUGUGUACGUGGUGGCCACUUUGCUGGGCUGGGACAAAGACCAUGGGGACAGAGGAGGUGGCUGGCUGAAUUUCCCAGGGCACCUGUUUCUCUGGGGAUUCUCGUCUGAGUCCGCCAUCCUCCCUGGGAGAUCCGCAGCCGGCCGCUGCCAGUCCCUCCCCUCCCCACUGCCCACAGGGGUGUCAUCCUCUGCACUGGUGAUGCUGUGCUGUCUCGGCUUCUGGCAGGUUCUCACGGGACCAGCCGCUUGGCUAGCAGAAUCAAGGCUUAUGAUCGCUCUUGUGCCCAGACCUGUGGCUGAUGUGUUGGCCUCAGGAAGGAGCAGAAGCAGAAUUGAGGGGCACCCCACACAGAAACAGGGGGGCUGAAGGUCCUUAGUUUCAGGAAACUUUCAAGGAGACACUUUUCAGGUGUGAAAGGGGAGCUCUCCGGGAUCAUGCCUGUGAAGGGACUGUCAGGGGUCCUGGGACCUCGUCCUCUGUCCAGUGUGGGGGAGCAGUGCCUUCCUCGCAGGGUGCAGAAGAAGGACCCACGGCAGGUGUUUCACGCAGGGCCAAACCCAUACUAAGUGCCCCGUGAGGAGAGGCCAGCUUUUCCCAUUCUCACAAGGCAGCCCUGUUUCAGCGGAGUCCGCCUGCAAAAAUCGCAGACUCCCAGCCUGUGGACUCCAUCCAGCCCGUUACUGUGUUUUAUUUGUGCUGUUGAUAGUUCCGUAACAUUUUUUGGAUUUAGUUGCCAGCACUUGGGUCAGAGAUUUCACACACAAGUGUAGAUUUCCAGCCCCCCCGGAAGAAUGGGGAGACUUGGUGCUUGGGCCCACGCCUCCGCAGGCAGCAUCAGGUGGAACACGGGCCCUCUGGUUUGCCGCAGACCCCACCUCUCCCUAUAGCCCUUCUCUCCCCUGAGUUUGGGCCUCCUGCUCCAGCCUCACCUCUGUGGCUCGGUGUCCUCCAGUGGUGCUCUGUGCCCACCUGGCCUUCCCCGUGGCACCCUCGGAGCCACGGGUCCACAGCACAGACCUCCUCGAAGGAAGGACCUUGGUGUAAUUAUAUCUGGAUUUGGGGUGGCCAGGAACAGACCUGGAAAUAUUCUCUUAUGAGGCGGAAAAAGUUUAUUAGUUUAACUGCUGGCACCAGAAUUCCUCUGAGGGAGAGAAGUGUCUUGUGUGAAGAAUUUGGUGGCCGUUGCUGGGGGUGGAAGUGGGAGUCCAGUUUGCAGGUGUCUGAUGUCAGCACCUGGAGUUGUUUCCAUGAGACAGGGAAGAACUUGUUUUGUUUCUGAAGAAGAGAGCUAGAGAGGAGGAAAAGGAGAGAGAGCUUAUAAGAGAAGAUGAAAAAGGAUGGGGCCGUGUGAGCAGGUGUCUUCGCGGCCAAAGGCCAUUUUGGAAACAGUGGAGUGCCUUUCAAGGCCUCAGCCUUCUCCUCUGUGAAAUGGGGUGGUGAAGACUGCAGGAAGUGACGGCGCCUAACCCAGGCCUAGCUGAGCCUCCCGGACACUCAGAAGGCCUGAGGCAUCUCGCUGCUCGGGGCUCGCUUCGAAGCACGCUGCCGCUCCUCUGUGUAUUUGUCGCCUGCUUCUCCCCGACAGCACAACAGCUCCCCAAGGGCCGUGUCUGCGGUUGAGCCGCGGUGCCAAGUCAAGGUCAGCACCUGCACUUCGUGAGGCCUCCCUUAGUCUGUGCCGGCUGAUUGCCGGAGGGAGCCAACGCUUUGACUCUGAAAGAUUCCAUCUGCAGGGGGGUCCCCGGUCCUCUUCUAACCCGACCCCUCCUUGUGCAGAUGCCAACAGGCCGCUCAGAGGGGAAGCCUGACUCACUGAGAGGCUCCCCUGCCACCGUGGCCCCGUGGCCCCGUGGCCCUGUCAAUGGCCCGCUGCUCCUAGGACUCCUGGGAUUGGGUUUGGUUUGGUUUGGUUUGAAGUACCCAAAGACGUGUAUUGCAGCGUUGUUAAUGGUAGCGAAAAGCUGGAAACAAAAGGAAUAGUUACUGGUGCAUGCACACCGCAGGAUGCUUUAUGGACGUUAUGUUACAUGAAAUAAAACUGCAUGAAUUGUGUCGGAGGGAUUUCCAUUGUGUUGUUGAGUGACAAGAGUGAAAUGCAUGGGAGUGUUAAGUAAGAGCCCAUUUUGGUAAAACACACUGUGAUACACUGUCCAUGUUCAGGAUGACUCGAGAAUGUGGGCUCCUUAUUUCGUAUCACGAGCCCCUCUCAGGCUAGCCUCUGCCCUCCCCCGGGGCCAGGACGCUGGGCUCUCUCCUGCCAGCCCCAGAGGGUGCUUGGCCCAGCUCUGCUCUCGGGAAGGAACUGGCCAUUCACCUUCCUGUGAAGCCCAGGGUGGCUCCCCGGUGUGCCCAAAGGGCCAGCCUCCCCAACCUUCUGAUCCCUGGCCCAGAGCAGGGUGCUGAGGGAAGGUGUCAUUUGGUCCCCUGGAGUCAUGCCUGCUCUGGAGACAGCUUGCUCUAGCUGGGGUCACCUGGCAUGUCCAGAACCUGGACCCCAGAGCGGGAACCUCAGCCUCCAUGGAGCUUCCCUUCUCCCACUUGUGGACUCCUGGACUUGGCCCAUCUUCAUCUGCCUGCAUGCCUUUAUGGCAGGUGGGGAAGGAGGCCCGCAUAUGUACAACUUAAGAAAAACAACAACAACAACAACAACAACCACCACCAAACAAAAAACAGCACACACGAGAACUCAUUUUUGUUGUGGAAAAAUGGAAUGUUCAGAUGAGCAGGAAGAAGACAAUAAAAUUUUCCCUCAAUUUCAAUAUCAA